rnacentral:rRNA from 1 species
AUUGAACGCUGGCGGUAGGCUUAACACAUGCAAGUCGUGCGAGAAAGUAUCUUCGGAUAUGAGUAGAGCGGCGGACGGGUGAGUAACGCGUAGGAAUCUACCUAGUAGAAGGGGAUAGCCCGGGGAAACCCGGAUUAAUACCGUAUACCUCCUUCGGGAGAAAGAAGGCCUCUCUUUGAAGCUUUCGCUAUUAGAUGAGCCUGCGUAAGAUUAGCUUGUUGGUGAGGUAAAGGCUCACCAAGGCGACGAUCUUUAGCUGGUCUGAGAGGACGAUCAGCCACAUUGGGACUGAGACACGGCCCAGACUCCUACGGGAGGCAGCAGUGGGGAAUAUUGGACAAUGGGCGCAAGCCUGAUCCAGCCAUACCGCGUGUGUGAAGAAGGCCUUCGGGUUGUAAAGCACUUUAAGCAGGGAGAAAAAGUUAUAAGUUAAUACCUUAUAACCGUGAUGUUACCUGCAGAAUAAGCACCGGCUAAUUCCGUGCCAGCAGCCGCGGUAAUACGGAAGGUGCAAGCGUUAAUCGGAAUUACUGGGCGUAAAGCGCGCGUAGGUGGUUUGUUAAGUUGGAUGUGAAAGCCCUGGGCUCAACCUAGGAACUGCAUCCAAAACUAACUCACUAGAGUACGAUAGAGGGAGGUAGAAUUCAUAGUGUAGCGGUGGAAUGCGUAGAUAUUAUGAAGAAUACCAGUGGCGAAGGCGGCCUCCUGGAUCUGUACUGACACUGAGGUGCGAAAGCGUGGGUAGCGAACAGGAUUAGAUACCCUGGUAGUCCACGCCGUAAA